GAUGAACGCUGGCGGCGUGCCUAAUACAUGCAAGUCGAGCGAACAGACGAGGAGCUUGCUCCUCUGACGUUAGCGGCGGACGGGUGAGUAACACGUGGAUAACCUACCUAUAAGACUGGGAUAACUUCGGGAAACCGGAGCUAAUACCGGAUAAUAUAUUGAACCGCAUGGUUCAAUAGUUAAAGACGGUUUUGCUGUCACUUAUAGAUGGAUCCGCGUCGCAUUAGCUAGUUGGUAAGGUAACGGCUUACCAAGGCAACGAUGCGUAGCCGACCUGAGAGGGUGAUCGGCCACACUGGAACUGAGACACGGUCCAGACUCCUGCGGGAGGCCGCAGUAGGGAAUCUUCCGCAAUGGGCGAAAGCUUGACGGAGCAACGCCGCGUGAGUGAUGAAGGUCUUCGGAUCGUAAAACUCUGUUAUUAGGGAAGAACAAAUGUGUAAGUAACUAUGCACGUCUUGACGGUACCUAAUCAGAAAGCCACGGCUAACUACGUG
rnacentral:rRNA from 1 species